GUGGCUCUUGUUUCCAACUAAGUGCUGGAGAUUAUAGAUAUUUUCUUUGGUUGCUUGGGCUUUCCUAAGAUGAUGGGUUAACUCAUUUAAGGAAAUGGGCUAAUUUCCUAAAGUGAUAGGCUAUUUUAUUGAGAUGAUUGGCUAAUUUUGCCUAAAAUAUUGGGCUUUUUUCUGUAGAGUAUUGGGCUUUUUUCUUUUUUUUAUUCUUACCCACAUAUUUAGGCUCAAGAAAUAGGCUUGAGUUUUGGGGCUCCCAAGCAGCUCAAAACUUCUAUUUCUCGGCUCAUCAAUGGGCCCCAUGAAAGCUCGUUACCAUCCAUACCACAACCCACUCAGCAAGCCCCGAGCAUUUAUUUACGUGGCUUUGGCUUGGACCCACUUAAGCUUGUAGCGUGGCUAGGUGCAAAAUAAGAGUUUUUUGCUUGGCAUUGCAUGUUGAUCGGCGUGCUUGAAUUUUAUCGCUUUGAAAAGGGAUAUGAUGCUUGAC
rnacentral:lncRNA from 1 species